CUCUUUGUUUCUAACAUAGUCAGCCUCAGAUGGGCCAGCAAGAGACAAUGGCUUGGUCACACCAGGGUGGUUGUUCAAACCCUCAGAAACCACCAUUGGCCUCAAUUACAAACACCGAGCAAACCCUAAAAUUGAACAAGUGGGCACAAUUGGGCAAAAGGGGGGAAUUUAUAUGGGCAAAAUUGAACAAGAUGUGCGGAGAAAUCAAGAAACCCUAGAUCGGGAAAUCAGGAAACAAGAGUAAAUUAUCAAGAAAAUCAAGAAAACUGAAGAAUCGGAAACCCUAAUUGUGUUACAAGUAGG
rnacentral:lncRNA from 1 species